CGUUUGAAUUGUUUUACAUAUUGCAUUUCGGGGCCUUUUAUAGCUGACUUUGCGGUAUGGGCUUUGCUCAUUGUUGAAGGCCGUACGGUGACCUAUAGUUGUUAAUUUCUGUGUCAUUUUGGUCUCUUGUGGAGAGUUGUCUCAUUGGCAAUCAUACCACACCUUCUUUUUUUUUGUUAUAAUGAAUUUUUGUAAAAGAUUUAAUUGAUGGAGAAUUUCAGAAAAGGUAUCAAAAGUCAGGUGCUUUGGGACAGGACAAUUGUUUUCCUAGCCCUGCUAAUUUUUUUUUUUAUUUGUAUUAACAUUAAUAACACAUGCAUACUUUUAGCGCUUAACUGUAUACAAUGAACAUUCAUUACUAUAAAUAAAGUGUAUUUGCUUUUUACUUUCAAUUCUCAGGUUACUAAUCGAUCCACGGCGGUCAUUUCUAUAUUAUACAGACUCUCUCUUUUUAGUUUACCUUGACCGCGUGGAUAGUAAACUUGAAAAAGAUAGCAGAUAGAAAAUACACUUUAUUCGUAGUGUAUGUAUGUUUAAAGAAUACAGAAAAACGCAAACCGGAAGUCUAAUAUGACUUAAAAUUUCGCCCAAUGACGGAAUCAAUAUCCGGAUGCGUUUUUUCUUGUUUUUCUCCCAAAAUAACUCAAUCUGAAUAAUCAUAAAAAUGGAUGACAAAUGCGACUAUGCACUGUACCUAUAGGACACAGAGGCAUGAUGAUUACUUUAUUGUGGAAAGAAGAGAAGCGACACCCAAAAUGAGGUCUUCUCGUUUAAUAGUAUAGAUA
rnacentral:lncRNA from 1 species